UAUUUAAACGCACUAAACGUAUUAAAAAACAUACAUUGCUCAUGCUCACGUUGCUUCGACGUUUAAAAAUACUGUUCAGGCAUUAUUCAAGGCAGCCAAGUUUCCGGAAGAGCAACUGGUGCGGGUUUAAUGGACAAGGAAGAGAUAUUUGUUUAGGUUUAGUCUGAAGAUCACGCAUACUCUUUUUUUCGUCAAAUAGUGUGGCUCUUUUUAUAUCGUCAGCAUGCCUUUGUUUGCCCCAAAUCCAUUUGACCAAGAUGUCGAGAAGUCAACCAAUGAAAACAACACAACAGAUGACUGGGGGCUCAUUAUGGACAUCUGUGAUAAGAUUGGAACGACACCCAAUGGACCAAAGGACAGCUUGAGAUCCAUUAUGAAGCGAGUCAACCACAAAGUGCCUCAUGUUGCCAUGCAGGCCAUCAAUUUGCUGGGUGCUUGUGUGUCAAACUGCGGCAAAAUAUUCCACUUGGAAAUCUGCUCAAGAGAGUUUGCCAGUGAAGUACGGAGUGUGCUGGGCAGGGCCCACCCUAAGGUGUGUGAAAAGCUAAAGGCUCUAAUGGUGGAGUGGGCAGAAGACUUCCAGAAGGAUCCACAACUCAGCCUGAUCAGCGCCACCAUCAAGACUCUGAAAGAGGAAGGCAUCGCCUUCCCCUCCACAUCCUCACAGGGGUCCACCACUAAGGUCAGCACACCUGCUGUGAGCAAAGUAUCAGAUGAUGACAACCUGGCCAAAGCCAUCGAGCUGUCCUUGCAGGAGCAGAAGCAGCAGGUGGAGACACGGCCCCUGGCCAUGACUUCUGACCCCCCAAACUACACCAACGGUAGUGGGGGGGAGGAGGCCCGGAAGGUGCGUGCGCUGUACGACUUUGAAGCGGCUGAAGAUAAUGAGCUGACUUUCAAAGCUGGAGAACUUAUUCUGGUUUUGGAUGACAGCGAUCCAAACUGGUGGAAAGGAGAGAACCACAGAGGAGUGGGACUUUUCCCUUCCAACUUUGUCACAACUAAUUUGAAUGCAGAGCCAGAGACAGUGGCUUUUGUUGAAAGGCCAACCAGUCCUGAAGAGACGAGCCUGGAAACCAAAGUUGAGCCUGAGCCCGUCUUCAUUGACGAGGGGAAGAUGGACAGAACACAGGCGCUGCUGCAGAAUGCAGAUCCUGCAGAUCCGGCUCCUGACUCUGCAGAGCUGAUCCAGCUGGAGGGCGCAUGUGAACAGAUGAACCCGAUGAUUGAUGAAAAGCUACAGGAGAUUGACAGGAAACACUCAGAGUUGUCUGAGCUAAAUUUGAAAGUUAUGGAGGCCCUGGAGCUUUACAACAAGCUCAUGAACGAGGCUCCAUUCUACUCGGCCUACUCCAAGAUGCAGGCGCAGUAUGCUCCAGCCGGCUCAGCUGUAGCCAUGCAGGGCUACCUUGGCCCGGCCAGUGGUCCCUACCUUCCUCCAGUGAUGCCCCAGGUUCCACCUGCGCAGCCCUACACUCUGCCCAGCGAUCAGCCCGGACAGCUCCACUCACUGCCCCCCAACGUCUCAGCCCCACCCAACAGCCAAGCUCAGCCUCCCUACAUGAGCAGUGGUAUGAACGCUCAGUACAUGAACCAAGCUCCUGGAGCUCCUUACCCACACAUGGACAUGUCAACCUAUCACAACUCCAACAUGCCUCCUGUGUCCUAUCCUGUGGCUGCUCCUCCUCACCAGGCUCCCCAGCAGCAGCAGCAGCAGCAGGCGGCAUAUUAUCAGCAGCCUUUGCUGUAAAACUCAUACUGACCACAGACCUAAGAUUAAUACACACAUCAGGUGUGUGUGUGUGUGUGUGUGUGUGUGUGUGUGUGUGUGUGUGUGUGUGUGUGUGUGUUGAGAUGAAUGAAACACCCUGCGAAAGUUGAAUUAACUGCGGUGUGUAUGUAACGCAGGUCUGUUGUUCAUCUAAGUCAGGACACACUCUGUGCCCAUGUCCUCAGCUACUGUAUGUGAGGCUAAACAUGGCGCCAGGAGUUUUCUCCUGUUCUUCACUGCUUUUUCCUGGCUGACAGUGAACACGGCGCUGGUCUUCACCCAUGUCACAGGUCAACACAGAAGAAGAGUUGGGUUUGCCCACCAAUACAGGACCAUGUAAUAAUGAGCAGCCUAUUUUUACAAUUCAUAGUUCAUCACAAUGCUACUCCCAAACAUUGUUUUUUCUGAAUUGACCCCCUUCAAAAAAUUCCCGCAACAUGUGCUCUUCUGAGGUGGUAAGAGAGGGUCAGCCAUGUCCACACUAAUGUAGAUAAAUGAGAAAACAGAGUUUUUCUACCUUGUUUAUAUGGGCAAUGCAAAAGCAAUCCCUCUGUCAAUGUCUACACUGGAUAUGUUUAGCCACAGUACAGACCAUAUAGCAUAAUAGAAGAUCAAUGUAAUUACAUGCGCACGUCGGAAUUGAAUAGAUAGCUGGUUGAGACGGCUGUAUUGAUCAAAACUUAGAAAGCAUAUCUGUUCUGGCAGAUGCUUGUGAGACAGAUUACUGAAAAACACGGGCGAAACAUGUCCGGUAUAGCCAGCUUGCAACUGCUUUCUAGUAUGGAUUGAACACCAUUUGACACCGAAAUGGCAUUUUCCAAAGUAUCUAUGCAUUAAUGUGAACAUGGCCUAAAUGUUUUGUUUUUCUUAUAGUUUUUAAUGACCAUCUUGUUUUUAAGUCUGUAGGUGAAUUCAUCUGAAGGCAGGUACAGUUUAUUCUGACCAUCUCUUUGUCCUUUACUGCAGUUUGCACUGAAUGAUCGAAACACUCUGGAUUGGUGUGAGAGUCUGUUUCUGCAAAGUCAGCUCUUAUUAAAAGGCAGGAGCUCCGUUUAUUUUCUUCUCACCAGCAUUCAUCACUUUAGCUCAUCUGUUUUCUGAAGAGAAGUCCACACUAUAUUUUCAACUAUCAAACAUGUAUGUUAACAGUUAUUUUUGUGUAAAUGGUUAAAAUCAAUUCUUUUCCUUAAACUCACUGCCUUGUAAUGCAUUCUGUGGUUGCAUUUGCGAUAUUUAAGAUGACAUUUUCUGUGUGUGUGUGUGCACAUAUUUGUUUUGUUUUUUACAUGUUUGUAUGUGUUUGAGGGCUUACCCAUAAUUCAUCUUUGUAAAAUUACACUGAUUUUCACAAGGAUCAGAUUUUAGGGUGAACUGAGAAAUAGUUCUCUUUGUGUGUGUUUUUUAAUCUGGCGAAAUGCUGCAUCUGUUGAUGAUUAUAACAUCUGUACCCUGCUGCCUCUCAUCUUCAUCUGUGGGGUCUCUUCCAUUUAACGGAAGCCUGUUAGAAGUCCAUGUUUUAUGCAAAUGCACGAUACUGAGAUUUAUCAUGUCUAUAUACUUAAAUUUCAAAAUUGUCAAUGGCCUCGCCUGUACUUUGAUUUAUAUCCAAUCCAAUGUUAUUUAUAGAGCGCUUUACAAGGUACAUACAAACAUACAUUGGGUAAAGAAAAUACAGCAUGACAUGAGGAGAGACAAGGAGAAAAAAGCAACUCCCAGACUAUGCCCCCACUAGGAGCACAGUGUGGGAACAGGAAAAAAAACACCUCAGCAACAUAAGCACAUAACCAAUACAAGGGCACACAAGACACCCAAUGGGUGAGGGGAGUCUUGGGGAGCAUGGGGGAGGGGGGGGUGUUGGGGUGCAGGUAGUCCAGCACAGGCAAGCAGACAUCUGGUCUUGCAGCCAAACAAGACAUUAUACAUGUAUAAUUUACAUGGCUGGAGAAUGUGUAAUUAUUAUUCUUAGUUUUGCUUCUACUUUUACCUUUUUUAUUUUCCAGGCAUGAUGAAACAAUUAUUUACUAUUAAUAAGAAGAAAGGAAAUUAAGAGAUCAGGUUUCAAAUCUACACAUUUUUUUUGCAGUUUAGGGGUGAAAAUCAAGGAACAGCUUUCAUAGAAUCUACAGUCAUGUUACAGUAGCUCCAUAGUUAUAAUUCUAGCCAGAACUGUCAAAAUUUUCUUUAUGGCCUCAUAUUAAAGGCAUUGUAUAUUAGAUGUAAAAUACCUGGUUUUGUUGGUUGCAUUGCCAUUGCACCUUAGCUUUGUAAACGUUCAUUUACCACUGGAUGCCUUGUUUUUCUGUAGAAAUCAAAGAAUGACACAGACACAACUUUGGCGACUAACUUCAGUCUCAGAAUCCGCUGGAUAUGUAUAAUUCUGUAUAUUUAAAAUAUUCCAGGAAAAGUUCCUUUAUCCAGGAUUUUAAGACUGCUUUUUAACAGAGCAAACAUAGUAUUCUUUGAAAUAAAAAGAAAUGUACCUGUGUU